rnacentral:rRNA from 1 species
AGAGUUUGAUUCUGGCUCAGAUUGAACGCUGGCGGCAGGCCUAACACAUGCAAGUCGAACGGUAACAGGAAGAAGCUUGCUUCUUUGCUGACGAGUGGCGGACGGGUGAGUAAUGUCUGGGAAACUGCCUGAUGGAGGGGGAUAACUACUGGAAACGGUAGCUAAUACCGCAUAACGUCGCAAGACCAAAGAGGGGGACCUUCGGGCCUCUUGCCAUCGGAUGUGCCCAGAUGGGAUUAGCUAGUAGGUGGGGUAACGGCUCACCUAGGCGACGAUCCCUAGCUGGUCUGAGAGGAUGACCAGCCACACUGGAACUGAGACACGGUCCAGACUCCUACGGGAGGCAGCAGUGGGGAAUAUUGCACAAUGGGCGCAAGCCUGAUGCAGCCAUGCCGCGUGUAUGAAGAAGGCCUUCGGGUUGUAAAGUACUUUCAGCGGGGAGGAAGGGAGUAAAGUUAAUACCUUUGCUCAUUGACGUUACCCGCAGAAGAAGCACCGGCUAACUCCGUGCCAGCAGCCGCGGUAAUACGGAGGGUGCAAGCGUUAAUCGGAGUUACUGGGCGUAAAGCGCACGCAGGCGGUUUGUUAAGUCAGAUGUGAAAUCCCCGGGCUCAACCUGGGAACUGCAUCUGAUACUGGCAAGCUUGAGUCUCGUAGAGGGGGGUAGAAUUCCAGGUGUAGCGGUGAAAUGCGUAGAGAUCUGGAGGAAUACCGGUGGCGAAGGCGGCCCCCUGGACGAAGACUGACGCUCAGGUGCGAAAGCGUGGGGAGCAAACCAGGAUUAGAUACCCUGGUAGUCCACGCCGUAAACGAUGUCGACUUGGAGGUUGUGCCCUUUUAGGGCGUGGCUUCCGGAGCUAAACGCGUGAAGUCGACCGCCCUGGGGAGUACGGCCGCAAGGUUAAAACUCAAAUGAAUUGACGGGGGCCCGCACAAGCGGUGGAGCAUGUGGUUUAAUUCGAUGCAACGCGAAGAACCUUACCUGGUCUUGACAUCCACAGAACUUUCCAGAGAUGGAUUGGUGCCUUCGGGAACUGUGAGACAGGUGCUGCAUGGCUGUCGUCAGCUCGUGUUGUGAAAUGUUGGGUUAAGUCCCGCAACGAGCGCAACCCUUAUCCUUUGUUGCCAGCGGUCCGGCCGGGAACUCAAAGGAGACUGCCAGUGAUAAACUGGAGGAAGGUGGGGAUGACGUCAAGUCAUCAUGGCCCUUACGACCAGGGCUACACACGUGCUACAAUGGCGCAUACAAAGAGAAGCGACCUCGCGAGAGCAAGCGGACCUCAUAAAGUGCGUCGUAGUCCGGAUUGGAGUCUGCAACUCGACUCCAUGAAGUCGGAAUCGCUAGUAAUCGUGGAUCAGAAUGCCACGGUGAAUACGUUCCCGGGCCUUGUACACACCGCCCGUCA